CUCAUUACUGAUAAAGAUCUGAAUAAAGAGGAAGUAACUAAAGCAGACAGAUGUAGAGACAGAGAGAUUCACACAGAGAUCAUUCAGCAGAAAGAAGACUGUACUCAAGUCACAAUGAAGAUCCUCCUCAUCUUCUUCACUUUCUACCUGAUCUCAGGUCAGAGCUUUUCUCUUUCAUUACUGCAGUAAUGAUGCUGUUUUCUGUUCAUCAGCAUUCUGAUCACAAUAUCAAUCUGAUUGACAGCUGCAGAAAAAGACAUUGAUGUCACUGGAUAUUCUGGAGGAAGUGUUCUUGUUGAUUCUGGGGAACUUUGGUUCAGUGACUCUGUUAAAUAUAUGGCCAAAUUACCUGAGUGGAGAACAAUAAUAAAUGAUAAGAAACACAACGAAUGGAUAAAUGAUGGAAAAUUCACAUUGUUUCAAAACAAAGAGGGAAACCUCAUGAUCUACAUCAGAGAUUUGAACGACCGUGAUGCUGGAGAAUACUGGAUUGGUGUUCUUUACAAGUGGGGUAUAGAUAUGACUUUACAUGUGGAAAACGAUUUAUAUGGUAAAGUGACAAAGGGAGUGAUGGUGAAUAUUGGAGAAACUGCCAAUUUCAGUUGUGAAUAUACACAAAAUCAUAUUAAUGAUGUCAAGAUCAUACUCAAAGAAGGAAAAGACUCAAUUGAGACGAUUUACAGCAGAUGGAAGACGAAAGAAAGAUAUAGUAUUUCUGAUGACAAACAAAAAAAUGUCUUCCAUAUGAAGAUUUUUGCUGUGACACCAGAUGAUGGAGGAGUUUAUUUAUGUGGAGUUUGGAUCAACAGACACCCGUACAGUUACUACAUUAUUACUACUGUUGACCUGCACGUUAGUAUGCCUCCAGUAGUGAGACGUGAAGGAGAAUCUGCUGAGAUCUUCUGUCCUUAUGAUUCAAUCUAUAAAUCAAAGCCAAAGUCUCUCUGUAAGGGGAAGUGCUCCACUAGAGACAGAAAUCCUCUCAGUGAGACCGUGAGAGAAGAGAAAGAGACCAAGACUGACAGAUUGACUCUGAAAGAUGACGUCACUGCAAGUGUCUUCACUGGGAGCAUCACUGCUCUGACAGCAGAGGAUGCUGGGAAAUACUGGUGUGCAGUGACAUUAGAAACAGAGCUCAAUUAUCUUCACACUCAUGGUCAUCAUGAACGAGGGUGA
rnacentral:lncRNA from 1 species